rnacentral:rRNA from 1 species
GACGAGGCACUACGGUGCUGAAGCAACAAAUGCCCUGCUUCCAGGAAAAGCCUCUAAGCAUCAGGUAACAUCAAAUCGUACCCCAAACCGACACAGGUGGUCAGGUAGAGAAUACCAAGGCGCUUGAGAGAACUCGGGUGAAGGAACUAGGCAAAAUGGUGCCGUAACUUCGGGAGAAGGCACGCUGACAUGUAGGUGAAGUGAUUUACUCAUGGAGCUGAAGUCAGUCGAAGAUACCAGCUGGCUGCAACUGUUUAUUAAAAACACAGCACUGUGCAAACACGAAAGUGGACGUAUACGGUGUGACGCCUGCCCGGUGCCGGAAGGUUAAUUGAUGGGGUCAGCGCAAGCGAAGCUCCUGAUCGAAGCCCCGGUAAACGGCGGCCGUAACUAUAACGGUCCUAAGGUAGCGAAAUUCCUUGUCGGGUAAGUUCCGACCUGCACGAAUGGCGUAAUGAUGGCCAGGCUGUCUCCACCCGAGACUCAGUGAAAUUGAACUCGCUGUGAAGAUGCAGUGUACCCGCGGCAAGACGGAAAGACCCCGUGAACCUUUACUAUAGCUUGACACUGAACAUUGAGCCUUGAUGUGUAGGAUAGGUGGGAGGCUUUGAAGUGUGGACGCCAGUCUGCAUGGAGCCGACCUUGAAAUACCACCCUUUAAUGUUUGAUGUUCUAACGUGGACCCGUGAUCCGGGUUGCGGACAGUGUCUGGUGGGUAGUUUGACUGGGGCGGUCUCCUCCUAAAGAGUAACGGAGGAGCACGAAGGUUGGCUAAUCCUGGUCGGACAUCAGGAGGUUAGUGCAAUGGCAUAAGCCAGCUUGACUGCGAGCGUGACGGCGCGAGCAGGUGCGAAAGCAGGUCAUAGUGAUCCGGUGGUUCUGAAUGGAAGGGCCAUCGCUCAACGGAUAAAAGGUACUCCGGGGAUAACAGGCUGAUACCGCCCAAGAGUUCAUAUCGACGGCGGUGUUUGGCACCUCGAUGUCGGCUCAUCACAUCCUGGGGCUGAAGUAGGUCCCAAGGGUAUGGCUGUUCGCCAUUUAAAGUGGUACGCGAGCUGGGUUUAGAACGUCGUGAGACAGUUCGGUCCCUAUCUGCCGUGGGCGCUGGAGAACUGAGGGGGGCUGCUCCUAGUACGAGAGGACCGGAGUGGACGCAUCACUGGUGUUCGGGUUGUCAUGCCAAUGGCACUGCCCGGUAGCUAAAUGCGGAAGAGAUAAGUGCUGAAAGCAUCUAAGCACGAAACUUGCCCCGAGAUGAGUUCUCCCUGAGACUUUAGGUCUCCUGAAGGAACGUUGAAGACGACGACGUUGAUAGGCCGGGUGUGUAAGCGCAGCGAUGCGUUGAGCUAACCGGUACUAAUGAACCGUGAGGCUUAACCUU